rnacentral:rRNA from 1 species
AGUGAACGCUGGCGGUAGGCCUACACAUGCAAAUCGCAAGAGUGGCGGACCGGUGAGGAAUACAUCGGAAUCUACUCUGUCGUGGGGGAUUACGUAGGGAAAACUACGCUAAUACCGCAUACGAUUGAAUGAGCCGCUGUCGGAUUAGCUUGUUGGCGGGGGAAAGGCCCAACAAGGCGAAGAUCCGUAGGUGGUCUGAGAGGAUGAUCAGCCACACUGGAACUGAGACACGGUCCAGACGCCUACGGGAGGCAGCAGUGGGGAAUAUUGGACAAUGGGCGCAAGCCUGAUCCAGCCAUACCGCGUGGGUGAAGAAGACCUUCGGGUUGUAAAGCCCUUUUGUUGGGAAAGCGUUACCAACAGAAUAAGCACCGGCUAACUUCGUGCCAGCAGCCGCGGUAAUAC